CUAAUCAAAAUUGGGUGGCGCCAAAAAAGAAACCAACUACAUCUUCUUCUUUUUCUUCUCCUCCUCUCUCUCCCCAACCAUAUUAUACGGUUAAUUAACGUAUCGUCGCCGGAAAAUUAACGGCGGCUAUCGUCCGGCGGCGACUUUGAUGAUCACUGCUAAUGUGUCGGUUUGAUUAUUUAAUUAAUUACUGGAGUUGGGUGUGGGAGAGAAGGAACAAGACAGAGGGGCUGUGACUAUCUGUGUAAUAUAUCCAGCUUGGCUGACCAUGGCACUCCCGUGAGAGGGAUAAAAGGUUGUUGUUGGGGCCACAGGGAAAGAGAAGGGUCAAAAAGAAGGAAAAAGCAAAAUUAGGAAUGGGAAGGAAAGAGAUACAAAAAGAAAAAGAAAAAAUUACCAAAAGUUAUGGUCCACCAAUGGUAAAUACCCUUUCGUUCUUAACUAGAAAUUUCGAGUUUAAGCCAUGCAAAUAGAGUCGUCAUUGAUAGGAAGCAACUAUACCUCCAAAGUGGAAUUUUUUGGUAUGAAUUUGAAUUGAUCGGGUCUCAAUGUGUGUAUUGGACAUCCGGUGGAAAAGUUAAAAAAAAAUAAAAAAUAAAAAAAGAAGGGUAAAAAAAAAUGUAAAUGAGAGAAGCUUUUCUUGUCCUGUGCAUCAUUUUCUAGUCCUAUUUCUUAUCCUAUACCCACCCCAUCUCCCACUAUACUUCCCCAUUUCGAGGGAAGAGGUUAAUAUAACCUCUUUCUCUUUCUUUAACAAGCAUACAAUUGUUAAAUUUUUUUCUCUGCGUGCCAAUGUACAUUCUUGUCUUGAUAAUAAUACUGAUUUGGCAAAUAUUAGCAUAGGGGUUCCUCUUUUAAUUGAGUUCUUGACAUUUGCUUGAUCUACCUGGUUUUGGGUAUUGAUCAUUGUGAUUAUAGAACAAGAAUUUGCAAUUUAUUGGCUGGGAUUCUAAUAUUGAUUUUUCUUCAGAUCUGGGUGCCUGUAAAGAUAUUUACAGCUGAGAAAAGGAUCUUACUUUAUUGGUCAUUGGUGUGUAAUU